rnacentral:rRNA from 1 species
GACGAACGCUGGCGGCGUGCUUAACACAUGCAAGUCGAACGAAGUGGCGGACGGGUGAGUAACGCGUAAUCAACCUGCCCUUCAGAGGGGGACACCAGUUGGAAACGACUGCUAAUACCGAAUACUGAAGGAGGGGGUUGCGUCUGAUUAGCUAGUUGGAGGGGUAACGGCCCACCAAGGCGAGGAUCAGUAGGCGGUCUGGGGGGAUUAACGGCCAAAUUGGGAACGGGACAAGGGCCAAGCUCCCUAGGGAGGCAGGAAGGGGGAAUCUUGCGCAAUGGACGGAAGGCCUGCGGAGCCACGGCGCGGGAGUGAUGACGGCCUUCGGGUUGUAAAGCUAUGUUAAGCGGGAAGCGGUACCGGCAGAGGAAGCAACGGCUAACUACGUGCCAGCAGCCGCGGUAAUUC